CUCAUUGUGGUUACCCCCUCAUCAUAUUACAUUAUCGACUGUAUACAAACAAGUGCACACGCACAACCUAAUAAAAACUAAUGUACAGCACCAGUGACUUCAAUGUGGAUGCCUGUUUGUGCGGCAGUCCAUCCGAAGCAGAUGGCCUCUCCCUUCACUGAGAUGGAGUGGUAUACUAUUCUCUUCUCUCUGGUAGUGUUCGGUCUUUUUACCCUGCAUGGCCUAAUACAAGAGAGAUAUGUGCACACUACAGACAGCGAAGACAUCAAAGAAAGACUUGAGGAGCCACUCAUCGUUUGAGUCCACCUGCAGGCCUCUACUCAAGACUGAUUUCAUGCAACAUGGUCUAUCCAGGAUCCAACACGAGUGCGUUGCACACAACCUGACCUGUAUGCUACCUUUAUUGCGCUUGAAACCUCAUCACCUGGACUGGAUCCGGCUCCAAACUCAGGGGUGGAAGUGUGUGUGUGUGUGUCUUUGUUAUGGAUCUUCUGUUUUCAGGGUUUGAGUUGGUCUUCAUCAUCAUUGCUUUUACUAUCAUGUGCUUAUUUGGCCUGGCUGCAGUCUACAUACAUAAUACAGAUCAUCAAGAUGACUACAUUCAGACAGAACAGAAGAUAACACAACAAAAGAAAAACUCAAAGAAAAAAAGAGUUGUCACCAAAACCAAUCAAGACAUGAACACACAAACAUGAACACAUUUGAUAGAAAAACAGAAUCUCUCCAUUGGUGCUCAUUGGAUAAAAGGACUAGCGCACCAAAUGCAGUUAACCAGCAGACAAACUGUGCCUGAAGAUCUCUGAGACUGAAAAUAGACUUAUCAAACUCAUCUUUUAGCUCACCCUCAAGACACAUGCGUUUUCUCUCAGCUGUCUCUGAUUGACUUGAAUGUCUGAUCCCAGUAAGUAAUUAACCAUUGAAGAAAGGUAAAGAGGAUUUAUUGAAAUCAAAGCCCCUCCCCUUUCCCCAUCUAAAUCCGCUUAACAUUUGUAAUGUAACGAUUUAAAACCUUUCUGGAGGAGCCUUAAUUUUUCACACAUAUUAUGCUUUUGGGGCAAACUACAUCUAAAGUCUCUGGGUGGUGGUAGGCUAUGGCAGUAAAAAUAGGAAAAUAUAUUGCUGAAUGUAUAUUGUGAAGAAAAAAAAUAUUAUAUACAAUAUUUUAUGUAUUGCAUUUUUGGUUGUAAUUUAUUUAUUUAUUUUUCCACAAAUAUUUUAUAUAUUUCAAAAUAAAAAUUAGAAUAUUAUCUCACA